AACGAACGCUGGCGGCAGGCCUAACACAUGCAAGUCGAACGGAACCUUCGGGUUUAGUGGCGCACGGGUGCGUAACACGUGGGAAUAUACCCUUGAGUACGGAAUAAUGUCUGGAAACGGACACUAAUACCGUAUAAUGACUUCGGUCCAAAGAUUUAUCGCUCAAGGAUUAGCCCGCGCCUGAUUAGUUAGUUGGUGAGGUAAUGGCUCACCAAGACGAUGAUCAGUAGCUGGUCUGAGAGGAUGAUCAGCCACACUGGGACUGAGACACGGCCCAG
rnacentral:rRNA from 1 species